rnacentral:rRNA from 1 species
GACCCCGCACAAGCGGCGGAGCAUGCGGCUUAAUUCGAUGAUACCCGUAGAACCUUACCUGGACUUGACAUAUAGGGUCAAGCUAUAGAGAUAUAGUGUGCAUUAGCGCCCUAUACAGGUGGUGCAUGGCUGUCGUCAGCUCGUGUCGUGAGAUGUUGGGUUAAGUCCCGCAACGAGCGCAACCCCCUGUCCUAUGUUGCCAGCAUUUAGUUGGGGACUCAUAGGAGACUGCCGUGAUAAACCGGAGGAAGGUGGGACGACGUCAAGUCAUCAUGCCCCUUAUGUCCAGGGCUGCACGCAUGCUACAAUGGCAAGUACAACGAGUCGCAAUACCGCGAGGUGGGAGCA